AUUUGUGUUAUUGAACUUUUUAGUGCUAAAAGAGUUCAAUCGUUUCAAUCCAUUAGAGAAGAAGAAGUGGGUCUUUUAAUCGAUUCUAUUUUAAAAGCUUCUUCUUCUUCUUCUCCUGUGAAUCUUAGUGAAAUGACUUUGGCUCUUACUGCAAAUAUUACUUGUAGAGAAGCUUUUGGGAAAAGUUUUGAAGCAAGAGGAUUUAGCCAGGAGAGAUUUCAAGAAGUGAUUCAUGAAGGCUUUGCCAUGUUGGGGAGUUUUUCUGCAGCUGAUUUUUUUCCUUAUGUGGGUUGGAUUGUUGAUAGGCUUACAGGUCUCCAUGCAAGACUUGAAAAAAACUUUCAAGAAUUUGAUGAGUUCUACCAAAAGAUUAUCGAUGAUCAUAUCCAAAAGGAACGAAAUGAGAAAGAACAUGGACAAGAAGACAUUAUUGAUGUUUUGUUGGAUUUGGAGAGAGAUCAAAAUGAUCAUCAAUCAAGUGCAUUUCGAUUAUCCCAAGAUCGUAUUAAAGCAAUUCUCAUGGUAAGCUAACUUGUCCUUUUCCUUUUCUUUCCCAAUUAAUGUGUUCCAAUACUCUCUUAUUGGAGUGCUUUCAUAAGUAAUUUGAUUAACGUUUUAAGAAAUAGUUAUCUGUUAUCAUAUAAGAUUAGUUCGGUUGAUAUAUUGGUUGGGAUUUUAUCUUUAUUUUUCAUUUUGUGUGAUUAAUUUUCUUACCAAUAUAUAAAAUUAAGUAAUCAGACUAUAAUUAAUUAGUUUCAAGAAAAAGUAUGCAGAUGAUAAAUAUUAUUCUAUUACGUUACGUGCUUUGAAAAUUUUAUUUUUUUGAGAAUUGCUUUGAAAAUUUUAUAGUUUGGAACUAAAUCAACUUUGACCGUAUAUAGCCUUUUAAAAAGUGCUAUUUGGAAGAUCAAGACGUGUUUUUAUAGUUAAAUAUGAAAAGAAUGCAAAAAAAAAAAAAAAAAAGAGUAAAUUAUGAAAGCCGCCGAUGGCCGGGGCCGCUGGUGAUGGUGGCCGGUGGUGGUAGCCGGUGGUGUGGUCGGUAGUAAAUGGUGACCUGUGAUAGUGACGGUGAUGAUUAAUAAAUUAAAAAAAUGGAUUUAGAAGGUUAAUUUGCCAAUGUUCGGAAAAUGUUUUAAAUGGAAAGUUGUUUUCCUUAAAGAAUAACUUACUUUUCCUUUAAUCAGGAAAAUAUUUUCCGUUUACUUAUUUUUCUGAAUACCCCAAACGACGGAAAAUUAUGAAAAAUACUUUCUUGUAAAUUAUUUUAUGGAAACAAAUGGAGUCUAAAAAAUAAAAACGAUAAAACAGUAACAUUUUUUAAAAAAAUUAGAUUGAUAUAUGAGAUAAUGUAUACACCGGAUUUAGUAAGUCUUAUGUCUCGAACUUAUUGUUCACCAACUGGUUCAUAAGCUAAAUUAUUCACCAAGCUGAUUCAUACGCUAAAAGCUGUUUGUCGUACACACAUAUAUUGGUUUUUUUAUUUUCGAUCUUGUUGUGCAUCUGUAACAAAAAUCUAUAUAUGAACUUUUUAGAAUAUAUUUUUAGCUGGAGUGGACACUGGAGCAAUAACCCUGGUGUGGGCCAUGGCGGAGCUUAUCAAAAAUCCCAGGGUUAUGAAGAAAGCACAAAAAGAAAUCAGGACUCUCAUUGGAAACAAAAGAGAAGUAUCUGAAAGUGACAUUGACAAGCUUUACUACUUAAAGAUGGUAUUAAAAGAAACAUUGAGACUUCACCCACCAGCAACAUUAUUAGUUCCUAGAGAAUCCAUUUCCAAAUUCAAUAUUGGUGGCUAUGAAGUUUACCCUAAAACUCGAAUACAAGUCAAUGUGUGGGCGAUUGGAAUAGAUCCUGAGGUUUGGAAAGAUGCAGAAAGGUUCUUUCCAGAGAGGUUUAUGGACAAAGAUAUUGAUUAUAAAGGUCAACAUUAUGAGUUUUUACCAUUUGGUGCUGGGAGGAGAGGUUGUCCAGGCAUUUCCAUGGGAAUGGUUAUGGUGGAGCGUGCACUUGCAAACCUUUUGUAUUGGUUUGAUUGGAGGUUGCCUAAUGACAUGAAGGGGGAAGAUUUUAGCAUGGAAGAGGAAGCUGGUCUUGCAACUUAUAAGAAAGUAUCUUUAGUGCUUUUUCCAGUUAAAUACCAACCCUAAUUAAUUAUUGAUUAAGCACGAAACAUCUUAAAUAAUUUUAUUUUAUUUAAUCCAAACUAUAAAAAUAAUAAUUUUAUAAUUAAUUUAAAAUUAAUUAAAUAAUUAAUUAAAUCAUGCUAAAUUAAAUUUAAAAUAACAUUUUAAGCUGUUAUGGUCUUGAAUAUUGUGUACAUUGGUUCUUAAGUUUGAUUUUUCUUUUUUUUUUUUUCAAUAAAUUUGCUUAUACCUUUUUCCCUCUCUAUUAUUGGAUGAAACUUAUUAAUUGAUAACUGAUCAUAAUUUUUUUAGCCUUUUUGAUAACUUUGUUAUUGGAUUUUUUUUUCUUUUUAGAUUUCUUUCAACAAUAAAAUUUUUUUUUCUUUUCAAAAGAAAUAUUUUUUGUCCAGCCAUUAAUUGGACGAAUGCUUUAAAUAUGUAGUUUUAUUCGACAAAAUUAAUUGUUUUAGUACUUGUUAAAUAUUUUGCUAGUAUUUGAAAAAGGUAAUCUACUCAAAUAUAAACACAUAAAUAAAAGUGUCAAAAUACUAAACCUUCAAAAAAAUAAAAUUUCAGCUUUUUGUAAAAAAUUAUCGUUGUUUAGAAAAGUAAAAUUUCAAGAAAGUAUUAUAAGAAAUUAUAAGAAAAUUGAAUUAUUGUGUUUGAAUGAUAUUACAGUUUUCCAAAAGGUAGCAUAACUAUAAUAACAAAUGUUAUUAUAUAAUUUAAAUGAUUUAUUCUUUAGAAUUCUAAUUUUUGCGCCUUUUAAAAUAGAAAAAAAAAAAUUAAACCUACAUACUUAAAUUUUUUUUUUUUUUUAAGAAAGUACCAAACAAAUAUUGUAAUCUAACUUUUUUUGUGAGAUUUGGUCAACCAAAGCCUCUUAAAGCGUUGAAUUAAAUAAAAAAAAGUUUUGGUAUGUAAAAAUAUAUAAAAACUCUUUAAGAAGGCUUUGGUCCAACAAAAGAUAAAUUCCUUAUACUAAUCAAAUAGUUACUUAUAUUAAACACUUAUUAAAACAGUUAUUUAUAUUAAACACUUUUUUUCUAAAUCGCUAUAUAAUCAGUUAACCACUAACAUGUAGCAGCCCAAGCCUAGCAAAAUAUUAUCCGCUUUGGGCCGAACUCGGUCUAGAUAAAUUUAAACCAUUAAAAAAAUAGUUACUCCUUUUGUUCCAUAUUUUCCUGUUUCAACGAGUAAUAAAUAUCUUUUUUUCAUGUUUACCCUUUGUAUAUGACCAAUAAUUAUUACUUCAAUUUAAUAGUUUUCUUAGAAAAUUAAUAUUAAAUUAAGUGAACAUAGUCAAUUUACUUAAUAAUUUAUUGUAAAUUUGUAACUUAGAUAAAUUUAAUGAUUUUUUUAAAGACGUAAAAUUAUAUAUGUGACAAGUAUUAUGAAAUAAAAGUAGUAUAUAAAACCAACUUUGGAAAUAGUUAUAUUAUUCAACUGAACUUGCAACUCAAUUCAUUAUGAGGUUUAAGGGCGAAAUAACACUGUUGCAACUUUGGUAUGUUAAUGUUGUGGUUUCCUGUCAUGUGUUGUUCGUGCUUCAUAGAUGAAUGCAAAAAUCAUAAUAUAAACAUUAAAAUAAAAUAAAAAUCAAAUCUAUAAUAAAGUAAAAAAACUGAAAAGCUACUGUUUAAUUUGAGUUAAUUCAAUCAAAUAUAUAUAUAUAUAUAUAUAUAUAUAUAUAUAUAAAAGCAUAAAUCCCAGAAUUGAAUUUAUAUACAAACGCCAUCAUCUCCAGCCUAGAUUUGUGUUAUACCAGGUGAUUCAAAUCAUCAAUACUAACAGUAACAGGUACGCCACGAACAGAAUCUCGACAAACAGGACAAUCUCGACCCUUCAGAAGCCAUUCAUCGAUACAAGAAUCAUGAUAUCAAUGCUUGCACUUAUUCAGAAUCUUACACUUAUCUCCCUCUUUGUAUUCCUCCAAGCAAAUACAACAACAGUCAACCUUCCCGCCCUGGAAUAUAACAACGACAGUUCCCGGUACGAAUUGUCGUUGUUGAGAGGGACUGACAGUGGCCGAACCGGAGCUGCUUCCGCUUGGAGACUGAAGUUGAAAGCAGGCGGCGAUAAGGUAGAAAGUGGAAAGUAAACAGAACGGUGUUGCUAAGCAGACUAAAACUAUAGGGUCCAUUGAGUUGUCAAUAAAUUGUCAGUGAAAUAACAAGAGAAAGGAAGAAAGGGAUAAUAGAGUUUAUGUAGAGUUGCUAUUGGACUAUUCCAAUUCUAAAUUGGAGUAGAAACCCUGGAUUUAGGGUUCAAUAGAAUUCCUAUUCCUGCUCAGAAAAGGAAGAGAAAAAAAGGUGUGUAGAAAAGUUUUGUUAGUUCGUGUUAAGCUACUCACGUGUUUUACGUAACGGGUAGAGUUGAGUUGCGGGUUUAUUAGAUAAAUUGAUAUAUCCGACUAAUCUCACGAAAGCCAUAAAUAUCUGUACAACGAUACAUAUAAAUAUAUUUUAUACUAGUUUUUUUUAAUGUACGUUGCAUUUAUUAUUUUGAAAAUUAAUUUUUUUCUCCAUUAAAAUCUUCUAUUUAAACUUUUUGGAUGAUCAUGAUUUAAUUAUUCAUUUUGUUAAGAGUUUAACAUAAAUAAUAUGUUUUUCUCAAAAUUAUGAAGGUAUAUUGUUUUUAUUGGUUAAAUAGAUUACAAAAUUUUAUUUUAUUAUUAUAAUUAAAUCUUGAGUAGAUACAUUAGGAAUCAAAUAUAUAUUUUAAUAUAUAAAAUAAAUUCAUUAAAAUAUUAUAUUUAAUAAUAUAAUGAAUUUCUAGAUAAAAAAUUUAAUUUCUUAUAAAAAAUAAAUAAAAAUUUAGUUAAGAGAUUAAGAGUAAAGUAAUUAAUAUCUCUAAAAACAAAGAAAAAUGAUAAAGCAAAGAGUUUUUAUUAAUUCAACUCUAUUAACAAACUGUGAUAAAUCAUCGUAUACAAUAGCCAUGAAAGGAAGAGAAAAUAAUUCAGCUACAAUAAUUAAUAAAAAUUAUAUGUUUUAAUGCAUUUCAUAUAAUCCCCAUUGCCUUCUAAGAAUGCAAUAUAUACCUUGACUUGAGAGCUUAAGCAUUCCGUCUUUGCACUAGAAGAAAUCUUUUUCUAUAGACUCAAAAGAAUCUAAAAUAAUUAGUCUAAGUUUAUUAAAUAAUCUGUUUAUAUUUAUCUAAAGAAAUAGACUCAUUGUAGAAGAAGUAUUAAUAAUUAAUUACAAUUAAGGUUUAUUUCUUAUAUAGGUAGCAAUACCUUCUUUAAUUAUUUUCAGCAAGUUUUUAAUUUGUUUAUUAUUUAUCUUUAACUUUUCAAAUAAUAAAAUUAAAAUCUUUAAAAAUAUGUUUGUCAUCUCUAUCAAAAUUUAAUAAGAGUAUCUUGGUUCAUCCCAGCAUUUUUCUUUCCUAUUAAUUCCUACUUUCAUAUAUAUCACUAUUAUUAUAGGUUAAAAUUUCUAAUUUAAAUACAAAUAAAAACUUUCUUAAUUAAUUUUAAGAAUAUCUUAGUGAAUAAAUAUUAAAAUUAUAAUCUAAAUCCUUAUAAAUAAAUUAUUAAUUUCAAUUAAUCUGUGAUUUCUAAUUGAGAUGUUUUAUAAUAAUUAAAAUUCUUGAUUUAAAUAAAAAAUUCCUAAAAAAUUUCUACUCCAAAAUAAAAGCUAUACAAACUAAUAGCAAUAAAUACGUCAAAUAAAUCCACUAUUAUUACUUGUUUUUAUUUCCUAAUUUGAGUUCUAAAUUAGUGUACAAAUCAUUAUUUAAUUUUUUAUUUUUAUAAUUUAAUUUUAAUUUUAUGAAUGAAGAAUAUGAAUGGAUUUAUUCCUGAUUAGUUUUACUAUAUUAUGAAUUCAAUAUAUGAAAAUAAAUAUAUAUUAAAAUUUAAAAUUUAAAUUGAACAUUUUUAAAUAUGAAUCAUAUUAGGAUCCAAUAUACAUUUUAUAAUAUUUAAUAAUAAUAAUAAUAAUAAUAAUAAUAUAUAAUAUAAUUUAUAUUCUACAUAUUAUAAUUAUAUAUACAUAUAAUUUUCUAUUAACUUUUUAUAUAAUGAAAUUUUAUAUUAAUUUUUUAUAUUAAUGAAAAUCUAAGGAUAUAAUAACAAUGCUAUGUGAUUAAAAAGAUUUUCCUACGUAUAUUAAGAUUCAGAUGAUUAUAUAUAUAAUUGAAAUAUAUAUAUAUAUAUAUAUACACACACGUUCUUAAUUAGAAUAGGGGUAAAUGGGACAAUUUUGCUAUUUAGAAUUAAAUUAAACUUUCUAAUAGAAUUUAGAUUCAAAUAAGAAAUUAACAUAACCAAUCAAAAUUAAACUACUUAUAUUUUUCAACCAAUAAAAUUAAAGUCUUCAAUGAUAUUUUUGUGAAUCAAUAAACUUAGCAGGGGUGUUUUAGGAACCCAAUAUCUCCCCUCCCUAUUCGUAUUUUUAAUUGAGUAAUAUUACUAUUUUUUUCUAAUUUUAAUGCUUUGUUUGUAACCCAUAAUAUUUAUUGUUCAUUGAUAAACAUAUAAUUACGUGUACUAAUUUAAAAAUAACUAUGAAAAUUUUAAUUAGUAGAUUAAGAGCAAAAUAAUUGAUACCUCCAUAAUUUAGAAAGAGAAUGCUAGAGCGAGGAGUCUUGGAUUGCAAUAGUCAAUGAAAUGCAACCAUAUCUCUUUACUUCAAAAAAAAGUAAAAUACAAUAAGAAGCAUUAAAGGAAAAAUAUUACAAUUAUUAAUUUCAUUUUUCAUAAUAAUUAAAUUAAAAUUUAAUUUAUGAUUGCAAUUGUUUUUAGCGAUAACAUUAUGGUUACACUUAUUUUUCUCUUUUCUUGGCAUUGAAAUUAAAAUUUUAUAUUUUCUUUCAAAAACGUCAUGAGGGAUUGGUUUUAUUAGUUGGUUUAUUACAGAAAACGUCUAUAAAUAUAAAGAAAAAUAUUUAUAUUUAAUUUGUACGAAUAGAUGAAGAAUUUUGUAUAUUUCUUCUCAUUAUAAAAUCUGUACAUUGGGUUCUAUUUAUAUUUACAAAUGUAUAGUAUAUUCUUAUUCUAGGACCUACUGUAUUGUAUAUUAUCUCAUGUAACAGAAUUACAGCUGUAAAAUGGGUUUGUUAUAUGGGUUAAUGGGUUAGUUGGGUUUGUUAUAUGGGUUUGGGUUAAGUAAAAUGGGUAUGGUAUGUGGGUUUAAUAUAAAUAGAAAAUGUUGUGUUUAAGUUUUAGGGUUUUCUUUGGUUAGAACGACAGCUUCUCUAAUGUUGGCUUUUAGGCUCAUAUUCGUUCAUGCCCCCCUCAAGUUGGAGAUGUGGUAACGAAACCAAGCCCAACUUGACAGUCAUGAGGCGAAAGCGGGAGAUGGGUAACAGUUUGGUGAAAAAAUCAGCAAGUUGGGACACUGAAGGGAGAUGCUUUUGUGUCGAUAAAACCAGAUUGAAUGUAAUGGCGGGUGAGAUGGCAGUCGAUGUCAAUAUGCUUGGUGUGCUCGUGAUAAACGAGGUUGGCGGCAAUAUGCAACGUCGCUUGGUUGUCGCAAAAUAAAGGUAUGGGAUUUUUCACUUUUACCCGUAGAUCUGUGAGUAUCUUUUCAAUCCAAAUGAUUUCGCACACUGUAUUAGCCAUAUCUCUGUACUCUGCUUCAACAGAGGAGCGACUGACCACCGUUUUUUUUUUUGUUUUCCAUGAGAUGAGUGAGGAACCCAGAAAAAUACAGUAACCUAUAAGUGAUCGGCGAGUCUCGAUGCAAGCCCCCCAAUCAGCAUCACAGUAUGCUUGGAGAUCAAGCGUAGAAGAGGUGGGGAAGAACAAUUUCAGAUUUGUGGUGGAGGCUAAGUAGCGUAGAACAUGAGAAGCAGCUACCAUAUGACCUUGACAAGGAUUUUGCAUGUGUUGAGAUAACUGUUGAACUGAGUAAGUAAUGUCAGGUCUGGUGAAGCUCAGGUAAAGUAGCCUCCCCACUAGUCGACGAUAAUAGUCUGGUUCUGUGAGUAAUGGUCCCAUGUGUGCUUGAAUCUUCUGGCCUUGUACUAAUGUUGUGGAUGAAUGUUUGGCGUGCUGCAUGUGUGAAUCUAACAGCAUGUCUUGAAUGAAUUUCUGUUGUGAUAAGUAGAUGCCAUCAUUAGACCAUAAGAUUUCAAUGCCCAAGAAAAAUCUUGCGUUGCCUAGAUCUUUUAUAGUAAGUUUAGAGUGUAGAAACUCUUUGGCGUUGCAUAUAAGUUGAAUGUCAGGUCCAACAACUAAAAUAUCAUCCACGUAGACAAUAAGUGCUAGUAAGUCAUUGUCUUCUCCUUUGGUAAAUAGGUAGUGGUCAUUCACUGAUUGUUGAAAUCCGUACUAGAUUAAUGUAUUUGUCAACUCUUGGUUCCACAUUCUGCCAGCUUGUUUGAGUCCGUAAAGUGAUUUAGUCAGUUUGCAUACUUGGCCUUUAGAAGCUUUAGAAUAGCCAGCUGGGGGUUGCAUGUAGAUGUCCUCAUCAAUAAAACCAUGUAGAUAGGCAUUGUUAAUAUCAAGCUGGUGAAGGUUCCAUUGAUAUUUAGCAAGGGCAAACAUAAUUCUCACAGUUACCAUUUUAGCAACAGGAGAAAAACUGUCAUUGUAAUCAAUGCUUAGUUUUUGGUUGAACCCUUUAGCAACCAGGCGAGCUUUAUACCUGUCUACAGUUCCAUCCUGUUUGUAUUUGACCCUGUAGACCCAUUUGCAUCCAAUGGCCCGUUUCCCUUUAAGCAACUCAGUUAAGACCCAAGUACCAUUGUCUUCCAAAGCCUGCAGUUCAAUUUGCAUUGCUUGCACCCAAUUUUCAUUAGAAAUAACAUGAUUAUAUGAUAAUGGUUCAUGAAUUUUGUUGACAUUAGAUGCAAAAGCUACAUAUGCAUGUGAAUAGGGUGAAUUGGGUAAGAAAUGUGUGGGAUUGGAAUUUGCACAAUUGGUUACAUAAUCUAUCAUCCAAGCUGGUGGUCUGGAAUUUCUUGUACUUCUCCUAAUUGGUUGAACUGGUUGGUCUGUGUGUAAUGUCUGAUCAGGGUCUAUCUGGUUGUAUUGGAUGGGUUGUUGGUGUUUGGUUCAGUUGUAGGUGUGGUCUGUUAUCUUGUUUGGUCGGGGUUAGGCAUAUUUUCAUUUGUGAUUGUAUGGUCUGAGAUUUGUGGGUCAUUGUCAUCUAAACAGGUUGGUAUCUUAAAUGUACAAGACUCAAGAGGGGUGUUGUGAUGGAAGGGGUAAACUGUUUCUUUGAACACAACAUCCCUUGAAUAGAAAAUCUGCUUAGAGUGCAUGUCAUAGAUCUUGUAACCCUUCUGUUAAGCCCCAUAACCCAGCAAUACACAUGGUUUAGCUCUAGGAUCAAACUUGUCUUUGUGUGGUUUAGUAUUGGUUGCAAAACACAGGCAGCCAAUAACUCUUAGGUGUGUCAGGUCUGGUUGUGUUUGAUUUAGGUUUUCAAAAGGGCUUAACCAUUCUAAGAGUGCAGAAGGCACUCUAUUGGUCAGGUAAACAUCAGAUAGGAGAACUUCAGACCAAAAAAUCUUAAGGAAUUUGGCCUGAAAAAGAAGGGCUCUCCCAAUAUUCAAGAUUUCUUUAUUUUUCUCUCCACUCUCCCAUUUUGCUAUGGAGAAUAGGGACAAGAUAGUUGAUGUGUAAUUCCUUUAGAACGGAAUAAUGUCUUCACUACAUUAUUCACAAACUCAGUGCCAUUAUCAGUCAUUAUUGUUUUGAUUUCGGUAUGAAAUUGGGUGUCUAUUAGGUUAGUAAAGUGGUCAAGAAUUGAGUGGACUUGUUGUUUUUUUGGUAACAUGUAGGCCCAUAUGUAUCUACUAUAGUCAUCCACAAUGGUAAGCAUAUAUCUGGCACUAGUUAAAGAAGUAAUAGGAUAAGGUCCCCAUAGGUCAAUGUGUACUAAAUCAAAUAUGCCUUUAGCAAUAUUACAACUUGGAUAAAAUGGUAAUCUUUGUUAUUUUGUAAGGGGGCAAACAUUACAUUCAAGAGUACCAUUGUUUGUAUCAAAAUUUAUUACAUGAUUUUGUCUAGCCAUAGAGAUAUGACCCAGUCUAAGAUGCCAUAAUAGUCUCAAAUGAUCAUCAUGUGUAGUACAAGUAAGUAGGGCUUUAGUAGUAGUAAUAGGCACAAAACACUUCUUAUCAAGAAAAUAUAAGCCUCCUUUCAACUUGCCAAUAGUCUGCAAAUACUUCAUCAGUCUGCAAAUCCCGUAACAAACAGUGGUCAGGUAGUGUUUUCACUGAUAGUGCAUUGUCUUUUGCAAGGGCUGAUGCAGAUAAUAAAUUGCAUUUGAAUGUUGGUAUAUAUAACACGUCAUUUAAUACCAGUCUAUCAUGUAUUAUGACCUUCGCCAACAUGUGUUAUAGUUCUAGUGGAGUUAUCAGGUAGGGUUACUGUUCUAGGUUUAGGAAAUUUGGUUAAUGUAAGAAAUACAUGAUGCAUGUAUGUCAUAUGAUCAGUUGCGCCAGUGUCAACAAUCCAUGGAACUACUUCACAUUUAUCAUGCACAUUAUAAUGAAAAUGAGAGAUAAUACCUGUAAAACUGACUGUGUUAGCUAUAGGUGUAUCUCCUGCCUUAUCAUCAUACUGCAUUUUAUCUUUGAAUGCACGCUGGAUCUCCAUUCUCACCAUUCUGGAUACAUCAUUCUCAUUGCCUCCUGAGUUAACAUUCAACUGUGCAUCACCUACUUGUCCAUAAUGUGCUUGAGCUUUCUUCUUCUUUUUGAGUUCAAUAAACCAAUCUGGAUAACCAGUUAGUUUAAAACANNNNNNNNNNNNNNNNNNNNNNNNNNNNAUGGAUAACCAUUUAGUUUAAAACAAGUUUCUCUAGUGUGGCCGGUCCCAUUGCAGUGAUCACAAUGCUUGUCAACUUUAGAUAUGGAAUUAUUGCUUGUAUUUUUGCUGUUGUAGUUUGCUUUUUGCACAUAAAUUGCACUGCUAUUCUCACUUGAAUCAUAGAUUGUAGUAUUCACCUCCCUCUGUUUUUGAACAUUCAGUACCAUUGAAUAAGCCUUGCUCAUACUUGGAAAUGGAUCCAUAAGCAGGAUUUGGUUUUUAACAUUGUCAUAUGUAUCAUUCAGUCCUAAGAGGAAUUGCAUGAGUUUUUCCUCUCCAUCUAGAUCUGAGACUGCUCUCAUAACACCACAGGUACAUCCUUCUGCAAUUCCACAGAUGCAUUUGGGAAUGGGUCUUAAACAAGCCAACUCAUCCCAAGAGUUUUUUAAGUUUUGUGUAGUAAUUAGUUACUGUUUGGUUACCUUGUACAGUUACUGAAAUAUCUUUCUUUAUUUGGUCAAUCAUAGGUCCAUUAGAUUCACCAUACCUGGUGGACAGUUCAUUCCAAAGAUCUUUGAAACUUUGAUAAUACAGAAAUGCUUCAACUAAAUCUUUAGAAAUAGAGUUUAAGAUCCAAGAUGUUACCAGAUUGUCGAUUCUCUGCCAUCUCUUUCUCAAUGGAGAUCCAGCUACAGUUUCCUGUUCUUCACCAGUGACAAAUUCAUACUUGUCUCUAGCCUUUAAGGUUAUGGUCAUAGAUCUGCUCCAUGACAAGAAAUUCCGGCUAUUCAAGGAAAUAUUAAUGAGGUUUGAAGCUGAAUUUUCAAAUGCAGAAACUUUAUAAGUUUCUGAUUCAAUAUUUGUGUUUUCAUUGUUUUGGUUAUUGUUUUCUACCAUUAAUUUCAGGAAAGGAAGCUUGAAUGAGGCUUUAGAACUUCAGAUACCAUAUCAGGCUCUGAUACCAUGAACAGAAAAGCAAAAUAGAUGAAGAAUUUGUAUAUUUCUUCUCAUUAUGAAAUCUGUACAUUGGGUUCUAUUUAUAUUUACAAAUGUGUAGUAUAUUCUUAUUCUAGGACCUACUGUAUUGUAUAUUAUCUCAUGUAACAGAAUUACAGCUGUAAAAUGGGUUUGUCAUAUGGGUUAAUGGGUUAGUUGGGUUUGUUAUAUGGGUUUGGGUUAAGUAAAAUGGGUAUGGUAUGUGGGUUUAAUAUAAAUAAAAAAUGUUGUGUAGAGUUUUAGGGUUUUCUUUGGUUAGAACGGCAGCUUCUCUGAUGUUGGCUUUUAGGCUCAUAUUCGUUCAAUACUACUAAUCAAAUUAAAAUUAAUAUAUCUAUGUAUGUAUGCAGCUAAUCAAAUUAAAUUCUAAAUAUAAACAAGGAGGUUGAUAGAUUACUAAAUUAUAAGAAAUAUAAAUAAAAACUAUUCUAUUAAUUUACAAGUACAGAGAAUUAAGAUUAUAGUUACCGCAAAAAGAAAACAUGAUUCCAAACUCAAUAAUUUCAAAUUAGCAAAAACAUGAUAUAAUAAUUCUUGAUAGUCAAAAGUAAUUAAAAACUAAACAUAUAUAGUGGUAUGAUAGGACAAAUUCCUAAUUAGAAUGGAAUUAAAUUUACAAUAUUAAUAUAAUAAAAAUAAUAAAUUGAUAAUUAGUACAUUAUAAAUUUUUCCUAUUUAAUUUUAUUUAUUCCGUACUUAAUAUACCUAUUCUCCAACUAAUAUAUUUAUAAUUCCUCCAAAUUUGAAAUAGGACUAAAUAAACUAUUCUCCAACUAAUAUAGGACUAAAUACAUGGUGAUCAAUGAUUUAUACUAAUUAGGAUUAAUAUAAAUUAUUCUCUAACUAAUAUAUUUUUAAUUCUUCCAUUUUAAUCCACCAAUAAAAUAUUAAUGACAUUAAAAAUUUUCUAAUUAGAAUAGGACUAAAUUAUCAUUAAUAAUAUUUUUAAUCAAUCAAUAAAAUACUAAUAAAAUUAAAAAUUUCCUAAUUAGAAUAUGACUAAAUUAUCCUUAAUGAUAUUUUUAUCAUCUAAUAAAAUAAAAAGUCCGUAGGGGCAUUUUAGGAACGCAAUAUUUCCCACAUUUGUACUUUUAUAUAUAUUAUAGAUAUACUGACGUGCAUUGCAUGUUGAUUAUAAUCAUUCUUUGUACUCGUUUAAUUUUUAAUUUUUAAUUUAUAUAAUAUUAAAGUAGUUCUUAUUUAGAUUAAAAUAAAUACAGAGGUUGAUUUACAUUGCACUUUAUCCAAAAAUUACUUGUAAUGCUAUUUUUAUGUACUUAUUUUUAUUUUUAUAUAGUGAGUGGUCUCAAAUAAAAUUCAAUCCAAUCCAUAGAACUAAUGCUUUAGCCUCUAAUUUAUAUAUGUAGAUAUUUGAAACCAUAAUAGAUGUUCAAAAAAGAAAUCAAAUCAUCAGUCAAUUCUCAACUCAUAUCGCCCAACCCCAAAUCAAUAUCUAUAUAUAUUUAUAAUGAAAUAAAAAAAUAAAAAUUAUUUUAUUUAAUAUCUAAAUAUUCUUAGUGCUAGGCAAAAGAAAAGAAAUGAAAAGUUGAUUUGAAUUGUUUAAAAAAACAUGAACCAUAAUGAAAGUAGUAAUCAUUAGGCAUAAACUAAACCCUGUUAAACGGUAGCUGUCUUUUUCCGUUGCUUAGGUGAGAGUUUUUUUUUUCAAACAGUUGGCUAUAGUCAGGGGCGGAUACAAUGGGAGCAAUAGGGGCAUUUGCCCCCACUGAUUUUUUACAGUUUAGUCUGUAUUUUUUGACAUUUUAGUAUAUAUAAUUAUGUUAAUCCGUACUUAUUCCACUUAAUUUUUUACAUUUUGGUCUCAUUAAAUUAUUACUUUUAUGUGUUGCCUCCACUAAUUUGAUUUUCUACAUCUGCAUACGGCUAUAAUGGCAGCAUUAUUUACUUGGUGUAUUAAAAAAAUGAAUAUAUGUGCAUAUAUAGAUUCUUAAAACCCUACUCAAAAUAGAAAUAUAUAAUCCUAGUUUUUUACCAGUUUUCAAAAGAAAUUUCCCUUCAAAUCAAAUAGAUUUAGGAUAUAAGAGAAAAAAUAUCAAAAAAAUUAAAAAAUACUUAAUCAUCAAGAAAUCAUCUGUUUAAUACAAAGGAGAUUAAAAUAUCUUAUUAAAUGAAAGUCAUAGUAGUUAUAAAUGUAUUCAUUAAAGAAAAAUGAAAUACAAAAUAAAAUAUUAUGAUUAAGGAUAAAAUUCUUCAGAACUCAACAUAUAAUAAAAAAUAAAUUACUUUAAAAAAUUACCAAUUUAAACCUUAAAUAUCAUUCCCUUCUUAACCGGAAAAGCCAUAAUUUAAUUCAAUUUGAUUUUAAUGUAUAAAAAAAAUUGACUAAAGUCAAUCAGUAAGGAAAUUUCCAAUCAAAUUAAUUAUAAAAACAUAAAAAUAAAAUAAUAUUAAAAUAGAACAAUAUAAUUUUUCUUUUUUUAUUCCUCUCCUAAAAUAAUAUCUUUUUAAAUCACAAUCAAAUAAUAAAUUAAAUAUUUUAAAAAAAUAAAAAGUUAAAACUUUCAAAUUUUAGAAGGCUUGAUUAUCUACAUGGAUUCAUAUGAAAAAUUAGUUUUAAUAAAAUAUAUCCAAUCAAAUCAAACAAAAAUUAUAUAUAUUUUCAAGUGAAAAAUUUUUAAUUGGCCUUGACUAAGGAUACUUUAGGGUAUCUUAAAUGUCAUUAAAGUUAUUAUUGAAAAUAUCAUUAAAGUAAUUAUUAAAAAUCUAAUUAUUCCUCCAUAAUAUUAAAAUAAAAAAAUAUUUUUUUUAUCGCUCUCCUAAAAUAAAGUCUUUUUAAAUUACAAUCGAAUAAUAAAAUUAAAUAUUUAAAAAAUAAAUUUCAAAGUUAAAACUUUUAAAUUUUAGAAGGCUUAAUUAUCUAUAUGUAUUAAUUUAAAAAAUUGGUUUUCAUAAAAUAUGUCCAAUUAAAUCAAAGAAAAAAUAUAUAUAUUUUUGAGUGAAAAUAUUUAAUGAUCUACUGCUAAGGUUACUUUAGAGUAUCUUCAAUGUCAUUAAAAUUAUUAUUAAAAAUCUCAUUAUUCCCCCAAUGCAACUGUUGAUUGUGUUAAUUUACUUGCUAGGUUUGAAAAAUUGAAAGUAAAAAUAAAAACCUUCUCCAACACUAUUGUCUGUUUAAUCCUGAGUCUGAUGUAUCAAAAAGAAAAAGAGACACUAUAGCGUGACUUAGUUUUUUGUUCUUUUUUUUCCUAUUUAUUCAUUUUUUUUUCUUAUUGUUUCAUUUUCUUUUAUGCCUUCUUUAUUUGUGCUCAAACUUCUUCUUCCGCUGAAACUAAUUUCUUCUUCGUGCACUUGGAGAACUAUUUUAAAAAUCUAACAUCUACAAAUACACAUUUAGUCAUAUCAUUCACAACUUCCUUUUAUUAAAACACAUCAGCCACAAUCUAUAGUUGCAUUGGAGAUAUUCUAAUGACUGAAAUUUCAGGUGAAAGGUUGUAUUGUAUAAAAUAAAAGCAAUUUCAACUCCGCAUCAAGCAAUUCCAACUUAUUUUUUUAUCAUCCAUUAAUUUUCUAAAGAAGACAGAAUUACAUUGCAUAAAAUAAAAUACUCUGAAAUUACAAACCAAAAAUAAAUUUCACUUGAUCUUUAAAGAAUUCAAUGAGACAAAGUAGAAAAAUAAUUUGAUUUCAGAAACUCAUCUUUCACUGUUUUACAAACAGAGCCCCCAAAUAAAUGAAGUAUGCACCAAAGAAAUUAAAGACUUCAUCAUAAAUAAUAAUUACUCUUUAAUUUCUUAUAAUCAAAACUAAAUCAACAAAACAAAGAGCUGCAUGAGAUAAAAUUAUAGCAACAGUGGAAACCAACAAUUAACCCACCGGCAAGAAUGAAAGCGAAAUAAAAACAAAACGAAAAUAAAACAAGUCACCAUUAUCAUCGUUAUCAUUAUUUAUAAUAAAAGAGAAUUAUGGGUUUUAUUAAAUGUUGACAUGGCACUUCCUUUGAAGAGAGAGUCUUUAAUAUUUUAGUAUUUGUAUUUAACUAACUUGAGGAAAAAGUUGUAAAUUUUUUUUAAAAAAACAUGUUUUUCAUUAAACAUUCUCUCUCUAAUUUAUGGGAGAAUUUUAAAUAUAAUGACUUCUAAUAUCCUUUGUUAUUAAUUCUUUAUGAGUUUGUUAAGUAAUGUCUCAUUUAAGUAUUUUAUUUUGAAUUUGACAGAAUGAUCUUUCAAUAACAUAUAUAGAUUAGCUGAGAAAGUGUUAACAUUGUUGGCCAAUUCAUUGGAGUCUCCAAAUUAGAAAUCUAGGUAUUUCAAAUAUAGCAAAUGAGUUUUUUGAUAUAUUUUUUUAACUAUUUCAUUGCUGUCUACUUCUCACACAUUGAUCAAUCCUAUAAAUAAAAAUUUUCAAUUUUACAUAAUACAUUUAAAUCAUACUCUCUAUAGAUUGUAUGUACUUUAACUUUUAAUAAUUUAUUCAAUACACACAUUUUAUAACUCAAAAUUAAAUAUAUUAUACAGUCGCGUAAAAGGCGGUAAACCGCCUAGUAAUGACAAUAAAAGCAGAACAUCAAAACUCUAAGACCACCUUACUAAUUUAAUUUUAAAAAGCUAUCAAUUAGUACAGAUAUCGUGAAAUAUACAUCACUUUUAUUGACGGAGCCAGAGAAGCUAGGAGUGGCCCCCACCCCCUAAUAAAAUUUUUUUUUGAAAAAAAUCAGUAUGCUAUUCCUAUAUUUUGCCAAUUUCUUCGACUUCCUUGAAGCAACACCAUUACAGUUUUUUUAUUCUAAUAAACAAAAUAUUAAACUUUUCAAUUAAUUUUAUUUCUAUUAAAAGUACAUUAUUCUCAAUAUAAAAACAUUUUAUCAUUAAAAUUUAUUCAUACAAACAUGCAUGGCUUCGUGGUAAGUUGCAUCUACGUCGAAUCAUGACAAAUCUAGAAUCUACUCAAGGUGAUAUUUAAUUGGUACAAGCAGUAAAGCUUCUUUCUUCUCAGCAGUAAGACCGAAUUCCUCUUCCAUAUUAAUAUCUUCCUCCUUCAUAUUGUAAGGCAACUUCCAAUCAAAACAAAACAAAAGGUUUGCAAGUGCAAGCUCCACCAAAGUCAUUCCCAUGGUCAUACCAGGACAAAUUCUCCUGCCACCGCCAAAUGGUAAAAAUUCAUAAUUUUGCCCUCUAAAAUCAAUGGAACUGUUAAUGAAUCUCUCUGGACUGAAUUCUUCAGGAUUUUUCCAAAUUUUAGGAUCCCUUCCGAUCGCCCAUACAUUGACCCUGAUUUGAGUUUUGGGAUAAACUUCAUAGCCAUUUAUGCUGAACUGUGAGAUGGCUUCUCUUGGAACUAGCAGUGGUACUGGUGGGUGCAAUCUCAUUGUUUCCUUCAACACUAACUUUAGGUAGUCAAGCUUGCCUGUAUCACUUUCAGAUACAUUCCGUUUGUCUCCAAUUAGACUUCUGAUUUCUAAUUGUGCUUUUCUCAUAACUCUAGAGUCUCUAAUAAGUUCUGCCAUUGCCCAGAUUAGGACAAUUGCUCCAGUGUCCACUCCAGCCAGAAAUAUAUUCUGAUAUAUAAUAUUAAAUUGAAUUAUUCUAACAGUGUCAAGUUCAAGCCAAAAUUAGCAAUUCUUCAAUGGAAUUGUAAAUUUUUUAUAUAUCAGAAAUUUAUUUAUUUUUAAAUCAGAAAUUAUCAAUGUGCAAAGUUAACAAUAUGUUCUUAUUCAACAAAUGGAAUGAUAUUCUAUAUUUUUUUAUUGUCUAAUUUCAUUAAGUUGAGUUAGAAUUUAAUAUAUGCAAUAUUAUAAUUACUGUCUUUUUUUAUCAUUUCUCUUUUCUUUCUAUUGCUAUAUAUCUCUUCUGAAAAGUCUCAAAAACUCUUCUUAAUUUUCUUUCGAAUCCAAAACAAAAAUUAAAAAAAGAGAGAGACAGAAAGAAAUAAGAAAGAAAGAUAAUAAUUUAGAAAAUUAAAUAAAGUAAAACAAUAGAAAAAAAUAGUUUAUUUGGAUUUUCCCGUGAGAAAUCUAAGUACACUUAAUUAUUUAAAAAUUAUUUGUUUUAACACUGAAUUGAAAAUUUUUCUCUUAAUGCUAAAAUAUAAAAAUUAAAAGUUAGACACUGCAAAUAUAAUUAAUUUUAUAAUUUUAAAAAUUAGUGUUAUUCGAUAAAAUUAGUUGUUUUGUUAGUUAUUUUAGUACCAUUUUUUAUAAAACGUUACUUUAACCUCUAGAAACUAGUUCAAACGUUAUAUUACUGAAAACUGUAAAAAAUACCGGUCAAAACGCCAAAAGUUACUGUCAAAUUCAGCUUUAAAAUCUUUGGUAGUGUAAUUGACUAAAUCUUUUAAGAACUAAAAUCCCUAAAUAGUUUUAUUACCUUUUAAAAAAUUAUAAAAAUAAAUUUUAUAAAUAGUGAAAGGAUAACUAUUCCUCUACUCAAUAGCUAUCUUUUUUAUUUCCCGCUAAUUGUAUAUCAUUAACCAAACAAAUGUUUUAAGAAACAGUAGGAAUAUUACCAUGAGCAUUGCUUUGAUAUGAUUUUGGGAAAAGGGAAUUCCACCAGAUUCAGUUUGAUACCUCUCCAAAUCCAACAAAACAUCAAUUAUAUCUUCAUGUCCAGGAUCUUCUUUUCCCUUUUGGAUAUGAUCAUCAAUAAUCUUCUGGUAGAAGUCAUCAAAUUCUUUAAAGACUCUAUCAGAUCUUGCAUGGAGGCCUGUAAGCCUAUCAACAAUCCAUCCAACAUGAGGAAAAAAAUCAGCUGCAGUAAAACUCCCCAACAUAGCUAACCCUUCACGAACAACUUCUUGAAACCUUUCAUGGUUAAAUCCUCUUUCUUGAAAACUUUUCCCAAAAGCUACUCUACAAAUAACAUUUGCAGUAAGAGACAUAGUCUUUUCACUGAGAUCCACCGGAGUAGAAGAGGAAGAAGAUUUUAAAAUCGAAUCGAUUAACAAACCCACUUCUUCUUCUCUAAUGGAUUGAAAUGAUUGAACUCUUUUAGCACUAAAAAGUUCAUGAACACAAAUCUUUCUCAUUACUCUCCAGUAAUCUCCAUAAGGUGUGAAAGCUAUAUCAAGAAAAUUGUAAGAUAGUCUUCCAGUGCCGGCCAAGCGAGGUCUACUACAACUACUGAGGUCAUUUGUUUUGAUAAGCUCUUUUGCAGUUUCUGCAGAGGAGAUAAUAACUGUAGGAACUCGACCAAAUUGGAGAAGCAUGACAGGACCAAAUUUCUUGGAUACUUGCCAGAAAGAGUAAUGAGGCAAGGCACCAAGUUGGUGUAAAUUGCCUAUUAUUGGAAGUCUAAGCGGACCUGGUGGGAGGUGCGUGCUAUAUAGUUUCUUUUUCAAAAGAAGAAGUAAGGUGAAGAGAAGAAGAAGAAGAAGAAGAAGAAGAGGUAAGCACAAAUGUAGAGGUAGAGAAGCCAUUACCUGCCUGUAUGUUUGUCUCUUGUUCUAUGUUCAAGUGAAAACAAGAGAACAAAAAGUGGAAGUGGAAGAACACAUUGCUUUUUUUGUGGUAAAAUGGAAGACAAUAUCUUAGAAAAAGAGGAAGAAACCACAAAUUAAUAACCAGGGCACUGAUCGAUCAUAGAUGGCCGAAUCGGGCCAAACACGAUAAUUAAAAUAAUUGAUGGAUCCCACAUUUCAACUUCACUGUGCGUGUGGAUCGUGGAGUACUGUUACCUUUUCUCUCAAACAAAUUUAAUCACGUGCAACAUCUUCUCAAGCGUGGGUCCCAUACUUUCGUUGUUUCUUUCGUACAUAUGGCUUUAUCUAGCAUGAAAUAGCUUUACCUAACUGAAAUGUAGUCCCCACAGGAUCGUAUGAAAUUUAACUUUUCUAUAAUUGGAUUAAUGUUUUAUGUUGUUAUAAUAAAUAAUUCUCUAAAAAAAAAAUUUUUAAUUUGUAAUUUUUUAGUAAAAUGUUGGCUAAGUGGUAAAAAGUAAAAUUAAGCCUAAACUUUUGACUCUUCUUAUAAUUUUGACCAUUUUUUAUUUUUUAUCGCUUGAUAAAAAUUUUUUUUUUUUUCAACAAUCGCAAGCUAUAUCCAUCUAUUAUCUAAAAACUUGUUAAUGUCAAAAAAAAAAAAAACUUAUUGACUUUGCCGUCAAACUUACUCAAUGAGACCAUGCGCAGUGUAGUUGGAUGAAAAGUUAUUAAAUUAACAAUAAUUGCAUUAAUUUGUAAUUUUUUAGUAAAAUGUUGGCUAAGUGGUAAAAAGGAAAAUUAAGCCUAAACUUUUGACUCUUCUUAUAAUUUUGACCAUUUUUUAAUUUUUANNNNNNNNNNNNNNNNNNNNNNNNNNNNNNNNNNNNNNNNNNNNNNNNNNNNNNNNNNNNNNNNNNNNNNNNNNNNNNNNNNNNAAAAAAAAAAAAAAAAAAAAAAAACUUAUUGACUUUGCCGUCAAACUUACUCAAUGAGACCAUGCGCAGUGUAGUUGGAUGAAAAGUUAUUAAAUUAAUAAUAAUUGCAUUAAUUUUUCUAAAAAUAGUUAAACUUCUUGAAACUGAUUUUGUUUUAUAGGGAAAUUACUUCUAGGUCCCUACAUUUUUACAAAAUUAAUUUGUUUUUCCUCACUGUUUGGAUAAAUUAGAUUAGAUUCUUUUGACUUAACGUUUUUGUUAAAUUAUUUAGUCCUUUCGUUCCAAUAAUAAAUUAAUAGUUUUUUGCCAUUUAUUUUGAGUGAAAAAUAAGAUAGAGGUUAGAAAAACCCAAAUAAAAAAGCUACGGUUUGGAAAGCUAGAAUGAUGGACAAUUUCGUCAUAAUGCAUUGGAUUACAAAUGAAAAAUUUCUUCAUUUUUUUCAUAUCAAAUACAAAAUUUUAAAUUUUUAAAUACUACAAAAUUUUGGUGAAAUUCAUUUAUUCUAAACAAGGUGUUUAUCAUCAAUACAUGAUAAAUAACAAUUUUACAUUUUUUUUAAUCAAAUCUAAGGCUCCGCUUACUUUAAGAAAAUAUUUUUUGAGGAAAAUGUUUUUCUAAAAAAAUAUUUUUCAAAUAAUUUAUUUUCGAUAGUUUGGUAACAAUGUUGAAAAUUAAUUAAAAAUAUUAAAACUUUUAACUCAUAGGACCAAAAUAAUAAUAAUAAUAACAAUAUAAAUUUCGUAUUUUAAAAUUUUUAUUAUAAAUAUGAGAAUAAUGCAAUAAAAAGGUAAAUUAUAAAAGUCACCAGUGACUAGUGGUGAACGGUAAGUGGUGGUAGUAUCUAUCGAUGAUUAAUAAAUUAAAAGAAAAUAUAAAUUUAUAAUGUUAUAAUAAAUUUAUCAAAGUCCGAAAAAUGUUUUAGCACUUAAAAAUAAGAAGUCAUUUUCCUUAAAAAUAACAAAUAAUUUAUUUUUUUGACAAAAAAAAAUAUUUUCAGUUAAUUCAUUUUUUUAAACGCACCAAAUAAUAAAAAAUUACAAAAAAUAUUUUUAUGUAAGUUAUUUUAUGGAAAUUAAGGAAGGCUAAAUCUACAAAAGAUGCCAUUCCUAACUUUAACGCUUCUAAAAACAAUUCAAAAAGAACAAAAAUGACAAAGAGCUGCAUAAUUAACCAACCGCCAAGAAUUGAAAUUCGAAAUUGAAAACUAAUUGACCUUUGCGAAGCUGAUUAAGUCAUGCAUCUCUUUUUGGACACUAAUGAAUGGAGGCCACGAUUGUUUACAAAUAAAAUAAUUGAGAGUAUCCAUUGGAAAAAAAAAAAAAAAAAAAGCCAUCAAAAUUAUAUAUCUAGUCAAAAGUUACCACUCAAAAAAAAUGUGCUCUUGCGGUCGAUUUUACGUCGGUUCGCAAUAUUGAGAUGAUAUUGUGACCAAUUGCUAUAAUUGGGAGAUUGAAUAUCUACCGACCGAUUUGCUACUCAACGGCGAUAGAAUUUGCGAAGGACUCGCGACCGAUAAUAUAUCCGUUGCUAACUAUAGCGCUAAUAAUUCCCGCCAGUUUGGUUUCCAUUUUGCCACCGAUUGCGACUAAUUUGCGACCGAUUUUGCUACAGAUUUGCGACCACCUGAAAUUUCGUCGCAAAAUUGCGCACUACAGUUCAGCGCCAAAUUUAGUUCUCUGCCUGCAAGGGAUUAGCGACCGAUAGUUUGGUCACAAAUCGGUUGCAAUUUGUCUCACAACAAAACGACAUCACAAAAUUAAAAAUUGUGAUCAAUUUUUUUAAUGAUUUGCGACCGACGUGAAUAGGGCUUUAUAAGCGCUGGUCGCCUUGCACCAGCGCAACCUCGUUCUCCUUCUCCUCCCCAUUUCCAGCCGUCAGCCGCCUCCUUCUCCACUCUGUUGCAGCGCCGGUCGCUAGAGACACCCUUCUCCUCUUCGUUCGCAGUUGUCUGGUCAGGUACGACUGUGUUCCUUUUUUUUUUAUGGAAUUCUUUUUUUUUAGUUGUUAUUGUAGUUGAAUAACAGAAAAUUAACGAAAUGCUGUUAUUAUUGUAGUUAUUAUUCUCUUUUUUUCUUUAUUUUUUUAGUUAUUAUUAUUAUUAUUAUUAUUAUUAUUAUUAUUAUUAUUAUUAUUAUUAUUAUUAUUAUUAUUAUUAUUAUUAUUAUUAUUAUUAUUAUUAUUAUUAUUAUUAUUAUUAUUAUUAUUAUUAUUAUUAUUAUUAUUAUUAUUAUUAUUAUUAUUAUUAUUAUUAUUAUUAUUAUUAUUAUUAUUAUUAUUAUUAUUAUUAUUAUUACUACUACUGUAGUUAAAAUAAUGAAAUGAAUUUCAUUUUUUUGUUGCAAUUUCGUUUUCCUUUGUUUUUUUUUUUGUCAUUAACGAAAUGUUGUUUUGUUUUUUUUAUUUUCUUUGUUAUUAUUGUAAUUAUGAAAUAAUGCAUUUUAUCUGUUAUUAUUCUUUUUUUUUUUUUGGUUAUGAAAUGAAUUAUGCAUUUGAGUUGGAGGUCUAGUAGUGACCAUUUUGCUUUUGAAGAAUGUUGGUAUGAUAUAGAAGUGUUUAUAUUAAUGUGUUUUGACUUGAGAUUUGAUUAUAUUAUGUCGAAGUACUACCGAAUUUUUUUUAAAAACUGAAUAUGAAGAAUCGUACAAUUACUGAUAUUAUAGUAAGCUUAUAUAUAUAUAUAUAUAUAUAUAUAUAUGUAUAGUUACCCUUAUUAUAGAAAUAACCUUAGUAUUCCAAUAUUAUAAUACCUUUAAUCAAAUGAGGUAAAGAAUUAAAAGAGGUAAAAGAAAGAGAAGUAUGAUGGAGCCUUUGAUGAGUGGCCAAAAGAUGUGCGGCUUGAUUUCCCUCACGAUAUAUAUGAUGAAUGGAAGAAGAGUGAAGAUGCAACAAGUCAACAACACGCAGCAAAAUUGAAGGACCUGCUCUAAUCCAUUGUGCCCGAUUAACAUGAGCAACAAGAUCCAGACAAUCCAUUUCCACCUGGAUGGGAUAAAAACCUUUAUCAAUACUGCAGGAAAGCCCCCAAAUCAAAGCCUCAAGCUCUGCAUCAUAAGCUGUCCCGGCAACAAUCAGAAAACAAGCGGCAACAACAAAAUUACCAUGGCUGUUUCAGAGGAUAGCACCACCCGCUGCUGAAAAUUUAUUGAAAGACGCAUCAAUAUUUAGUUUAUAAUAAUCUUGCCUAGGCCGAAUCCAAGUAAUAAUCAUUGGCUUUAAUUUAUGUUUGCCAAAAAAAGCCGAAAUGAAAUGGCAAUCAGCUUUUGCCGACCAACUUGCUGCAAAUCUCUUACCAGAAUUGGCAAUGCUCCAGUUUAAUAACAAACUACUGAUAUCUUGUAAAAGGAGGUCUGGAAAGCAAGCUUCAUUACCCCAAUCACACAUACAAUACAUUCUCCACACAGACCACACAAUUACCUGUGGUACCAAGCGCCUAAACUUGCCCAUAGCCGAAUUUGGUCUGUCACAAAGCCACCAAAAAAUCAACGCUUACCGUAGAGAAUUUUUGUGACUCAAGAGUAUCCAGGAAAAAAGAGCCGAAAUAAUUCCAAAGUUUAGCAAUGAUGGGGUAGAAAUAAAAAAGGUGGUCAACAGUUAUUUCCGACUUGAAGCAAAAUGGGCAAUGGGAUGGACCAUAAAUCCCAAAUAAUUGAGGACGUCGCAGUAAAGGUAAAGCUCCCCUGAGGAGUUUCCAUGUAAAAAUGGAAAGCUUAAGCGAGAAAGAUGAAUCCCAAAUAGCUUUGCUUGAAAAGUAGGAAGCUUUGCUCUCUCUAACACAAUUGUAGGUUGAAGCAAGAGGAAAUAAUAACCGUAGUGAAUUGACAUAUAUGUACCCUUAUUAUAGAAAUAACCUUAGUAAGUUAGAAAUGUAAAUAGAACAAAAUUUGCCCUUUAUAAACAGAGUGUUAGGUUAACAAAUGCGGAUUAAUCGAGAUUGGAUGUACUGGAGGUACGAGGUCAAUGGGAUAUUAAGACAAGAAUUCUUGCAAGGAUUUGAAUUGUUUAUAUAGUUUGCAGUUUGGUAAUCCCAAUUGCAUAUAUGGUAAUAAAUUGAGGUGUCCAUGUAAUCAAAAGAAGUGUCAAAAUAGAGCUUUCUUAGAUAUCGAUACAAUUAAACUUCAUUUAUGCAAAAAUGGGUUCGUGGAAAAUUAUUACGAAUGGAUACAUCAUGGUGAACCUCGAGUUUCCAGUGUGUCAGACCACUCUAUUUCUGUAAGUCUAGAAGGUCAGCUUUAUCAAUUUCAUUAUGGUAAUCAAUGCAAUGAUAUGAUAAUCAAUGCGGGUAGAGUAGAAUUUCAUUGGGAUAAUAUGGAGGAAUCGCCAAACUAUGCAGCACAACAAUUGUUUGACAUGCUAAGUGCAGCUAAUAGUGAACUGUGGCCUGGAUGCAAGAAUCAUUCAGUUCUAUCUAUAGUGACACGAAUACUUCACAUGAAAGCGGAGCACCAUUUUUUAGAAUGGUGUUAUGAUGAUUUUGUGCAGCUCUCAAAAGAAAUGUUGCCUAAAGGCCAUUCGAUGAUGGAUAAUUUUUACCGGAUAAAAACAUUAGUUCGGGGAUUAGGACUAUCCGUGGAAAACAUUAAUUUUUGUCGAAAUAAUUGUAUGAUAUACUGGGGUGUUGACUCCAAAUUAAGAGAAUGUAAAUUUUGUAAUCUUCCAAGAUAUCAAUGGCUGGGUCAAGGGACUGGUAGAGUACAAAGAGAGAGGACUUUCAAGAAUAUGUAUUAUUUCCCUCUUGUUCCUCACCUGCAAAGGUUAUAUGCAUCUAUAACGAUAGCCGAACACAUAAGAUGGCAUGCUUUGCAUGAAUGCGAGGAAGGUAUAAUGACUCAUCCAUCAGACUCUGAUGCUUGGAAACACUUUGAUAAUAAUCAUCUCAUGUUUGCUGCUGAUAUGAGAAAUGUGAGAUUAGGGCUUUGUACUGAUGGGUUUCAACCGUUUGGCCAAUAAGGACGAUAAUAUUCAUCAUGGGCUAUCAUUGUCACACUAUAUAAUCUACCACCGUCAAUGUGUAUGAAAGAUGAAUACAUAUUUUUGUGUGUUAUUGUACCUGGCCCUAAUAAUCCGAAAUACAAGAUUGAUGUGUUUCUGCAACCUUUGAUUGCCGAACUUAAUUAUUUAUGGGAAUAUGGGGUUGAAACAUUCGAUAUUUCGACCAAUCAGAAUUUCAUAAUGCGAGCUGCUUUGCUCAGUGAUUUUUCAGCAUUUGGAAUGUUAUCAAGGUGGAGUACGGUAGGCAAAUUGGCUUGUCCUCAUUGCAUGGAAAACACUAAUGCAUUUACACUAAAAAAUUCUGGUAAACAAUGUUGCUUUGAUUGUCAUCCCAAAUUCUUAGCAGAAUCUCACCCUUGGAGGAGAAAUCGACCGUGCUUUAGAAAGAAUACAACUAUUUUUAAUCCCCCUCCACCUGUGAAGUCUGAAGGUGAAAUAUUACAGGAAAUUGAAGAUUUAGGACUUAUGAAUGUUACAAAGUUAGAUGCAGAAGAGGUAAAUAGUAAAAUUGGCAGGAAUAGCGGAUGGAAAAAGCGAAGCAUCUUCUGGGAUUUGCCAUACUCACUUCUUAUCCGUCAUAACCUUGAUGUGAUGCACAUAGAAAAAAAUGUGUUUGAAAAUCUGUUCAACACUGUCAUAAACAUUAAGGGGAAAUCCAAGGAUAAUGCAAAAGCGAGAGUAGACAUAAAGGAAAUUUGUCAUCGACCAGAACUCGAGCAAUCUGUACUUACUGGAAAGUUUCCAAAGGCAUAUUAUUCUUUAGAUAAAUCCCAAAGGCAACUCUUUAUUGACAUUUUAUAAUUUAGUUAGUAAUUAUAAUUAUAUAUAUUUGAGUUUUCGGAAGAGAUUCAAACAUGAAUAUAUUCUAAAGUCGUAUAUAUACUUAUCACUAAAUUUUAACGUGAUGUGCAAUUUUAUAUAGUUAUAUUUUGUUUAAACAAAUUUGAACAUGUACUCAUUUCACACGAGUUAUAAAUAUAUAAAUUUUAUAUAAUCAAAUCAAAUAGAAUAGAAUUAGAUAUCCAAAAAUACUCUACUUGUUGGUAUCGCUAAUUAACUUUCUCUUUGAAAGAAAAAACCGCACAAAUCUUAUAUAUUCCAAAAGUAAUCAUUGUGAAUAGUUUCAACUUUUAUAAAGAUUUCCUUAUUGUACAACAUAGGAAUUGCUUGUGUUGGGUUGAGUUUUGAGCAAAUUUUGCAAAAUUUAACCAUAAUGAGCAAUUCUCAUUUCAAAUAAUAAAAAAUAUUUUAUAAGUUUUUAAAUAAUAAAAAAUAUUUUUAAUUAUUAAUUAGAAAAAUAAUUUUACAUAAUAUAGCCAAUCAAAUGUAGUUUGAUUGGUCUUCUCACUAAUUUAAUGAGUUAUCUUAACCACAAGAUUUUUUACCAAUUCGAUAAGUAAAGAAAAACUAAAUCUACUUUGUAUUUGGUUUGUUAGCCUUUCAAUAAAUAAAAAAUGAUUAAAUUUUUCACUUUAAUUAAUUUCAAAUGGUAAGGGAUGAAAGCGUGCAAGAGAACAAUUUUUGUUUUUUUACCUAUUAGGUAUUAACGUCUUUUUUCUAUUCACUUAAUGGAAAAGCUCACUAAAAUCAAAUGAAAUGAUUAAAUGUACGAUAGAAUGAAAAUAUAUGGAAUUCAAAUAAAAAUAGGGAUGAAACAGUUACAUUUCCAAAUAUAUAUAGACGUAAUAGUAAUUUUUUUAUAAAAAAUUAUAUUUAUUCUCCUAAAAGUUUAAAAACUUUCAUAUGGCUGCUGAAAAAUAAUUACUCUAACUUUGCCCUUAAAAAAAAAAAAAGAAAGAAAGAUAGGGUAUUAUUUUUGUUUAAAUAUUAACGAAUAAGAAUCCAAAUUGAAUGUGCAUUAUUACCCGGUCAAAAGAUUACACCGCUUAUGGUAAGCCAAGGCGUCACGCAUUAUAUAUAUAUAUUCCUCGUCUAUUAGUGCGUGCACUUGGAAGUAGAAAGAUAGAGAAACAGAGAGAAAAUGGUUCAACAUGUGUGGUUACCUCUUCUUCUUCUUCUUCUUUUCCCCUUACUUUUUCUUUUGAAAAAGAAACUUAAUAGCAAGAAACUCCCACCAGGUCCACCUGGACUUCCAAUAAUAGGCCAUUUACACCAACUUGGGACCUUACCUCAUUACUCUUUAUGGCAACUAUCCAAGAAAUAUGGUCCUGUCAUGCUUCUUCAAUUUGGUCGAGUUCCUACAAUUAUUAUCUCCUCUGCAGAAGCUGCAAAAGAGCUUUUCAAAACAAAUGACCUAUAUAGUUGCAGUAGACCUCUUUUGGCUGGUACUGGCAGACUGUCUUACAACUUUCUUGACAUGGCUUUUACACCUUAUGGAGAGUACUGGAGAGAAGUGAGAAAGAUUUGUGUUCUUGAACUUUUUAGUGCUAAAAGAGUUCAAUCGUUUCAAUCCGUUAGAGAAGAAGAAGUGGUCUUCUUCUUCUUCUCCUGUGAAUCUUAGUGAAAUGACUUUGGCUCUCACUGCAAAUAUUACUUGUAGAGCAGCUUUUGGGAAAAGUUUUGAAGCAAGAGGAUUUAGCCAGGAGAGAUUUCAAGAAGUGAUUCAUGAA
rnacentral:lncRNA from 1 species